UGAUUGGAGGAAGUGGUCAAAAGGUACAAACUCCCAAUUAUAAGAUAAAUAAGUAUUGGGGUUGUAAUGUACAACGUGA